ACUGCCAUACAAUGGAUAAGACUGUGUCACCUCACUAACAGGAGGCCUUGUUGUUCAUCAACGCCAUCACCUGCAUUUGCAGGAAGUGGAAGUGAUACAGCACUCAGGCCAAUACUGGAGUACAGUCGCCACACUUACAUCACCACUGCUGUUGUACAGAUUAACCCCAUAUUGACUGUCACAACUUCCAAUGUUGUCAUAUCAUACAUCUUGUAAUAGGACAACUAUACCAUAGAAAUACACAACAAACUUUUUGGAUCACUUUCAAUACAAAUAUGGUGUAACCAGUGUAAGUGACUGCUCUACAUUGAAGGUUUAAUUGACUUUUUGAUUAAGAGAAAAAUUAAUACCAUGAAACUUAAGUAAUUAUAUUGAACAAUUUGCUUGGUGUGCUAAAUGGUGCCAUGCACAACUGUAGCAGAAGGAAGAGACAGUGGCAAGGUGAUGAAUGAUGUAGGCACAUUGUCAAUGGACGUAAUUGUCAAAUUAUUGUGGUGGUAAAAGUGUGUUGGAGCUACAUCACAAUGUUUCAGAAGCCAUGGUUGCUGCUGGCACAAUGGCUCUAGGAAAUGUCAUGUUGCUUGGCAUGUAUUAAGUUAUCAGAGACAUGAAGAAGCUGUGUGAGAUGAUCUUCCACUACACCUCCAACAACACUACCAUGACCACAUUUCCAUCCAAGCAAAGCACAACAAGCAGACUUAAGUGCAGAAAAGAAGAAAGAGGAAGAGAAGGAGGAGGAGGAGGCGGAGAAGGAAGAGGAGGAGGAGGAGAAGGAAGAUAUGUACAAGACAACAGGAAUAGUACAAAAAUAAGAACACUAAGCAGAAAAAACUGUAUUUUCAUGCUGCUGCACAAGUGACCAUCAAAUUCUUCCUCCAAUUUAUCUCAACAAAAUGCUGAUGAAAUUCAACGACAUACAGUCCUGUGUAUUACUGUUCCUUAUAUGAAUCUUAAAAUCUCCAUAAAAUCACUGUACAGCUAGGUUACUAAAAUAAAAAUGAAAACAUUUUAAGUUUUUUCAUGUUGACACAUGGACCCAACCACCUUGUGCAAGGUAGUCUACCAUCACCUAAGUGCAAUCAGUUUCACCAGAAUAAUAGGUACCAUUUUGCCACAUCUGAUAAUGUAAUUA